UACGGAGGGUGCAAGCGUUAUCCGGAUUCACUGGGUUUAAAGGGUGCGUAGGUGGAUCGGUAAGUCCGUGGUGAAAUCCCCGAGCUUAACUCGGGAACUGCCGUGAAUACUAUCGAUCUUGAAUACUGUGGAGGUAAGCGGAAUAUGUCAUGUAGCGGUGAAAUGCUUAGAUAUGACAUAGAACACCGAUAGCGAAGGCAGCUUGCUACACAGUUAUUGACACUGAGGCACGAAAGCGUGGGGAGCAAACAGG
rnacentral:rRNA from 1 species